GAAAAAUGGAAGUGGAAGAAGAGGAGGAGCCAAGCCACAAUAUUUAGGUCCACAGAAAACGACACGCCGAUGUAUUUGAAGUCAAGGACGGAGAUUAAAACGGCCUUGAAAAACACCACACCCGUUUUGUCCACCACCAUCACCACCUUCUCCCAGAUCAAGGACAAGGCCAUGAGGGAGGCGGUGGAGGUGUGGGGGGUCCAGCACGCCAUCACAGACAACCUGCAGUUCAUGCUUGGGAUGGGACACACUGGGACAGCCUUGGACCGUUGGUGGGAGCAAGACAAGGCUGUGGGCUGUGGCAAUUUUGUCACUCAGACCUGUUGCCAUGUUACUAUUAUUGCACAUCCUAAGAAAGUGUGUGUAUGUGUGCAUAUGUGUGUUUACCUAGUAGUAUUGUACACGGUUCGAGCGGGCCUCGUAGCGUCCUGUCUCCAUGUCUCCACUUUUUUCCUUAAAGUUAUGCACAUUAUGUGGUGUAACAACUUCACCGCUCAAUGCAUUCCACUUUUUCACCGUUCUAU